GAUGAACGCUGGCGGCGUGCUUAACACAUGCAAGUCGAGCGAAGCACUUUGGAAAGAUUCUUCGGAUGAUUUCCUUUGUGACUGAGCGGCGGACGGGUGAGUAACGCGUGGGUAACCUGCCUCAUACAGGGGGAUAACAGUUAGAAAUGACUGCUAAUACCGCAUAAGACCACGGUACCGCAUGGUACAGUGGUAAAAACUCCGGUGGUAUGAGAUGGACCCGCGUCUGAUUAGGUAGUUGGUGGGGUAACGGCCUACCAAGCCGACGAUCAGUAGCCGACCUGAGAGGGUGACCGGCCACAUUGGGACUGAGACACGGCCCAGACUCCUACGGGAGGCAGCAGUGGGGAAUAUUGCACAAUGGAGGAAACUCUGAUGCAGCGACGCCGCGUGAAGGAUGAAGUAUUUCGGUAUGUAAACUUCUAUCAGCAGGGAAGAAAAUGACGGUAC
rnacentral:rRNA from 1 species